GGGAAGUCCGUAGUCGGCGCUGUGUAAGCUAAAGGAAAGGGUUGGCGCUGCUGGCCUUCACGGCAAGCUUUCGCCGGCUCAGCAAAUAUUUAUCCGAUUUUAAGACGCAGAACUGCUUUCUGUAAAAGAAAAAACAAAAAACAAGUGGGCAAGAAAAGCGGAGCAAAACGAAACAAAAAUUCUCCCUGCGACUCCGCCGGGACUCGAACCCGGAACCUUUGAAUCCCUUCAACCCUCUAGAAGUCCAAUGCGCUAUCCAUUGCGCCACGGAGCCACCUGUUGGAUUCUUUGUACAUUCGCUAUACAACCCACAGAAAGACUUCGUCCCGUCCUUCGCAGCAGGAAAGGUGAAUCAUUGGCAGUCCAUUUUGCCCACACCUUUUGCCAAGAGACAUCAAUUCAGUUUCCAUGCAGCCUCGAGAGAUGCUUCACUGAAGAUGAACAUCCCAAGAUACCUAUACCUUACUUCCAGAAUAAAUUUUACAGGCACCCUCUGCAUCAGUUACCAGCCUCUGAGGACUCUUUAAGUGUAACACUGCCAGUAAAGUUGGGGAUUUUUAUUUGAUUACAUUUAAAAAAACAAAAAACAUUAAUGUGAAUUCUUCCAGAUCUUCAUGCUAA